AAUAGUGUUGGGUGUAAAACCCCCCCAGCCGAAGUUCGUGUCAGGAGUGACCCCUCGGAGAUUCUACCGAUGUCCGACCUACGGCUGCAAAAAGGCUUCGUCUAGACUCCUACGGGAGCCAGACUUCGUCCCUGACUUCGGCUGCAGGAAGCCUUCGUCCGGACUCCUACGGGAGCCGGACUUCAUCCCCGACUUCGGCUGCAAGA
rnacentral:lncRNA from 1 species